rnacentral:rRNA from 1 species
AAGCGUUUAUGACCAGACUUUUUCCUGGCGGAUCAUGCGGUGUUCUCACCGUUGCACUUCGCCAGGUCGAGGCCAGCAUCGGUUCUCGCAGGGGGAUAAAAGCUUUGGGAACGUGGCUCUUCGGAGUGUUAUAACCCAGGGUAUAAUACCCCUAAGGAGACCGAGGUUCGCGCUCUGCAAGGAUGCUGGCGUAAUGGUCAUCAGCGA